rnacentral:rRNA from 1 species
GUAGGUGGCAAGCGUUGUCCGGAAUUAUUGGGGCGUAAAGCGCGCGCAGGCGGUUCUUUAAGUCUGAUGUGAAAGCCCACGGGCUCAACCGUGGAGGGUCAUUGGAAACUGGAGAACUUGAGUACAGAAGAGGAAAGCGGAAUUCCACGUGUAGCGGUGAAAUGCGUAGAGAUGUGGAGGAACACCAGUGGCGAAGGCGGCUUUCUGGUCUGUAACUGACGCUGAGGCGCGAAAGCGUGGGGGAGCAAACAGGAUUAGAUACCCUGGUAGCCCACGCCGUAAACGAUGAGUGCUAAGUGUUAGGGGGUUUCCGCCCCUUAGUGCUGCAGCUAACGCAUUAAGCACUCCGCCUGGGGAGUACGGCCGCAAAGGCUG